UACGUAGGGUGCGAGCGUUGUCCGGAAUUAUUGGGCGUAAAGAGCUUGUAGGCGGUUUGUCGCGUCUGCUGUGAAAACCCGAGGCUCAACCUCGGGCCUGCAGUGGGUACGGGCAGACUAGAGUGCGGUAGGGGAGAUUGGAAUUCCUGGUGUAGCGGUGGAAUGCGCAGAUAUCAGGAGGAACACCGAUGGCGAAGGCAGAUCUCUGGGCCGUAACUGACGCUGAGGAGCGAAAGCAUGGGGAGCGAACAGG
rnacentral:rRNA from 1 species